UACGUAGGGUGCAAGCGUUAAUCGGAAUUACUGGGCGUAAAGCGUGCGCAGGCGGUUUUGUAAGACAGAGGUGAAAUCCCCCGGGCUCAACCUGGGAACUGCCUUUGUGACUGCAAGGCUUGAGUGCGGCAGAGGGGGAUGGAAUUCCGCGUGUAGCAGUGAAAUGCGUAGAUAUGCGGAGGACCACCAAAAAAGGCGAAGGCAGCCAACUAUUCUAUUCCUGACACUGAGGCAUGAAAGCGUGGGGAGCAAACCGG
rnacentral:rRNA from 1 species